AUUGAACGCUGGCGGCAGGCCUAACACAUGCAAGUCGAGCGGAUGAAGGGAGCUUGCUCCUGGAUUCAGCGGCGGACGGGUGAGUAAUGCCUAGGAAUCUGCCUGGUAGUGGGGGAUAACGUCCGGAAACGGGCGCUAAUACCGCAUACGUCCUGAGGGAGAAAGUGGGGGAUCUUCGGACCUCACGCUAUUAGAUGAGCCUAGGUCGGAUUAGCUAGUUGGUGGGGUAAAGGCCUACCAAGGCGACGAUCCGUAACUGGUCUGAGAGGAUGAUCAGUCACACUGGAACUGAGACACGGUCCAGACUCCUACGGGAGGCAGCAGUGGGGAAUAUUGGACAAAGGGCGAAAGCCUGAUCCAGCCAUGCCGCGUGUGUGAAGAAGGUCUUCGGAUUGUAAAGCACUUUAAGUUGGGAGGAAGGGCAGUAAGUUAAUACCUUGCUGUGUUGACGUUACCAGCAGAAUAAGCACCGGCUAACUUCGUG
rnacentral:rRNA from 1 species